GUCUUUUUGAUUUAUAUUUAUUUAAAGUCUAAUCUGCUCACUGAAUUAAAAUUUAAAGAGCCGCAGUAUUUUAACUGUGCAAAGGUAGCAUAAUAAUUUGUUUUUUAAUUGAAAACUAGAAUGAAUGAUUGAACGAGAUAUAUUCUGUCUCAAUUUUAAUUUAAUAUAAAUUAAUUUUUUAGUUAAAAAGCUAAAAUUAAUUUAAAAGACGAGAAGACCCUAUAGAUUUUUAUAUAAUUGUUUAUUAAUUUAUAUAUAUGUAUAUAAUAUUUAUAUUUAUAGGUAAUUAUAUUUUAUUGGGGUAAUAAAAAAAUAAAAUUAACUUUUAUAAAAUAAAAACAUAAAUUAAUGAAAAUUUGAUCCAAAUUUAAUGAUUAAAAGAUUAAAUUACCUUAGGGAUAACAGCGUAAUUUUAAUUUUAAGUUCUUAUUGAAAUUAAAGAUUGCGACCUCGAUGUUGGAUUAAGAAAAAUUUUAAAAGAAGAUUUUUAAAUUUUAGGUCUGUUCGACCUUUAAAAUCUU
rnacentral:rRNA from 1 species